rnacentral:rRNA from 1 species
GACGAACGCUGGCGGCGUGCUUAACACAUGCAAGUCGAGCGGUAAGGCCCUUUCGGGGGUACACGAGCGGCGAACGGGUGAGUAACACGUGGGCGACCUACCCUCAGCUUCGGGAUAAGCCUGGGAAACUGGGUCUAAUACCGGAUAUGACCUUCCCUCGCAUGGGGGUUGGUGGAAAGUUUUUUCGGCUGGGGAUGGGCCCGCGGCCUAUCAGCUUGUUGGUGGGGUGAUGGCCUACCAAGGCGACGACGGGAGCCGGCCUGAGAGGGCGACCGGCCACACUGGGACUGAGAUACGGCCCAGACUCCUACGGGAGGCAGCAGUGGGGAAUAUUGCGCAAUGGGCGGAAGCCUGACGCAGCGACGCCGCGU